rnacentral:lncRNA from 1 species
AACUUUCAAUGUGUAUGAAAGGAGCACUGCAUGGUCAAUAAUCCCCCUAGGCUGGGUGUAGGGCUCCUCUGGCUUCUCAGCGAAGCUGGUAAGCAUGGUGCCACUUGAUCCUAUUAUAAGGUGAGAGGAAGCCUGGAAGCAGGGUUCCUUUCUGGAAGAUUUUAAAAUGGGAAAGACUUGACCUGAAACCUGUGUCAUAAUCAAGGGACUAAAAUGAUCUUUCCAAAGGACCUCUGGCUGUGCUCUUGACUCCCCAGUGGUUUCUGUGAAUAUCAACAUUGCCUGGCAUUAACUAGCCCAGAUUCUGAUCUCGCAGUUCCUGAUUGGUGCCCUCUGCCUAUAUAAGGUCAGGAUGUGGAAUGCUGAAGGCAGGGUCCUACCUUCUCCUGAGCUCCAAGCUUUCUUAUCUGUGCUCCCUGCUAAUCAACUCACCAGCAUGAAGCUCUUGGCGUUGCUGGUACUGGUGGCCGUUUCCACCUUCCUGGUUUCAGGCCAGACAACCGAUGAUACAUCUGAGAGUGCUACUGGUCCUGUUGAGGAAUCCACAACCGAUGGAUCCACAACUGACACCAGUGCAGCUCCUGACACCACAAAUGCUGCUCAAACCACUACUUGGAGCCUUAAGAAUUUGGUUUGGAAAAAUUUAAAGACGUGAUUGUGAGAUGGAAGUAUCUUGGAUGUCCUGCAUGUGAUCCUGCUGGGCUCGGCCAGAAUGUCCUUUCAUUCGAUUUACUCCAAAUACACACCAUGCCUAUCAUAUCUCUCCUAUCUCUAAUCAGUUUGUUUGUUUUCAAAUAAAAUUAACAUUGAGCAACA